AAGUUUGACAUUUAGUUGUAUUGACAUAUGGCUUCAAAUGUACAUCAGAAAUUGAAAUAGACUAG